UACAGAGGUCUCAAGCGUUGUUCGGAUUCAUUGGGCGUAAAGGGUGCGUAGGCGGCGCGGUAAGUCGGGUGUGAAAUCUUGGAGCUUAACUCCGAAACUGCAUUCGAUACUGCCGUGCUUGAGGACUGGAGAGGAGACUGGAAUUCAUGGUGUAGCAGUGAAAUGCGUAGAGAUCAUGAGGAAGACCAGUGGCGAAGGCGGGUCUCUGGACAGUUCCUGACACUGAGGCACGAAGGCCAGGGGAGCAAACGGA
rnacentral:rRNA from 1 species